CAGGGCAGUGGUGUACGAAGGAGGAGAGAAACUGUUUAUUUGAUUCCCAAACAUCAGAAGAUUUCCAUUCCUGUAUGGUCUAACUUCCCUCCUUUUCCAGGCAAUACAUUCCACACUGAAGACCAAAGUGCUUUGGCUUUCUCCCCUUCUUCCAACAUCUUCCCACAAAGCCAGGUAUUAGUGAAGGCCCUUGAAAAGCUGCACAAUGAAACUGCUUCUCCAGAUUAUCCCUUUGGGAUUAAGGAAUGGAACUUGUCCUACUGUUGGUCAACAGUAAACUCAACUGACUUUUCAUGGGGACGAUUGUCAUCUCUCAGGAAGCCAGAAAGCUACCCUUCCCUUCUCUAACUUCAUUCUGCCAGAAUUGAUAAGUGGCAUGAGUCUGUCGGCAGGUGCCGUGUACCUUGUGGGAGCGUAACACUCCAGCGCACCCUUUGGAGGCAGUACAGAUGGAACAGACUCCCCUCCCCAUGGAAGAUGGAGGAAAAUUGAUGGUCCAGUUUCUGUGCAUCCUUCAGUCUCCAUUCUUUAUCAGUUGCUUGGCCGCCAUUGUGUGAGUCACUCCCACUUAGAGCCAGGCAGGUCUCCAGACCACAGUGUCUGCUCCUCGCCACCUACACUGCCUGGCUGGAAGCUGUGUUUUCAUGAUGGCUUUUCUGACCACCCUGCUUGCUGUCUUCCCCAGACUUCUGAUGCAGCUGCUAUCUUCAGACCUCCUGGACUGCCCAAGAAAGGGAGUGGGAGCUAAUGCUCCAGAUGGGCGGAACAGCAACAAGAUGAACUGAAGGUGGCCAAAAAUAACAGUGCCUUCCAGAUGAGGUGACCUCAGAGCCAAGAGCAUCAUGGGGUAGAGUAUCUUGUUCCUAGUUUUAUGACCUAAAAAGUACACAGAAGAUCCAAAGAUACUACAGAGAGAAGGAAUAAAGUCUGCAGAGAACAAGGAAAUGGGAUUAGU
rnacentral:lncRNA from 1 species